UAAAGGAUGUGUCUUUUUGGCUACUGCUCCGCUGGAGCUGAAACUUUCCCAAAACUCACAGCUAAGCAGUUCAGUGUGUGUUGCAUGGGACAGCUACAGAAUUCCAAUUACUGCAAUGAGUCAGGCACACAUGAAGGCCUCUGGAUUUGUCAGACAGAGUGGAGGACAUCCACUGUCAUCCUCACCAGUUCCUGCAGCAUCUGGCUCUUUUCAGCACAGUAAAAGAUGACCCUCUCUUGCUGUUCCCACUGGGUGUCAUAAACUCCAUGACUCCUUCCAAGAAAUGUUAAGCUAUGCAUCUGCCUUGAUCUGCACAUACCAUGAUAUUUCAAGAUCCACCCUCUGGGAGAAGGGGGAGCAACCCUAACAGGAGUCCCGGCCACAGGAGUGCUGGGCAAGCUGGAAGCCUGGCACACGGGGGAGAAUGGGAAGAACGAGUCCACAGAAUGACAGUGUUCCUGGUUACCAGGGAAACAAUCCUAAAUUGGAGCUUUUUUUUUUCAAUCAGAAUAUUUGUUUUCAUUUGAAAUAUUUUGAUAAGGGGUCUAGUUUUUUAUAAACA